GGUUGCAGUAGAUAGGUUAUCUAUCAAUUCUUUUGACUGUAGAGAGGGAGAGGUUGUAAACCCAGUAAGUUGCUCAGCACAUUUUAACUCUUCAUUUAAGUUAGGACAGGAUAGAUCUUCUUGCCUCCAGGUCAAUAACUUUGUGCUACACAGGGACAUAUCAAAGUCAUCUCCAUCCACCCCUGAUUUAAAGUCAGAUGUUAUUGUUGUUACUUUCCUUUCUCCACUUUUAAAUUCAUUGCUCUCCCUUUUAUAAAACUGCGUAAUUUCAGUUUGUUUAUAGUUAGGGAGAGUCCCACGCCCAGCAGAAGACGCCGGCAGCUCAGUCAUGAGAGAAACACCCAACACUCUGCAUGCAUUUCUAGAUGUGCACCCACCAUAAUCUUCCUAUGAGUGUGUCAACCAGCAUGAGAAAGAAAUGAGAAGAUAAAUUUGGAUAUAUACUCACUUUGAAUAUACACCAUACAAACACCCAAAAAUGGAUUCACUGGGUAUGCUGUUGGACUUCAUUUGCUGGCUGAGAUCUUGAAGCUUGCAGAGGAGUAUCAACUUUUUCAAACCUACUGUUUUUUAUGCCAUGAAAGUGCUUCAUGUCCUUUCAAGAUCUGCUAGGUAAUGUUAAACUGUCCAUGAGUUCUGUUGUGUGAGAUAAAAUGUAGCAUAGUUGUUAAGAGCACAAAUCUGGAAGUCUCUGUGUCAAAGUCACUCAACAAAGCCAAUUUAUAUGAGCACAUUGAUGUACUGUGAGUACGGUUAUGUGAAGUAGCCCUCAUAAAUGGCUAAACUUGUUCACUAUUGGGAAAUUUAGGGCUGGAUUUAGGGGCAGGCAACUGUUUGCGGGCAUUGGGCUUGGGAAGCACCUGUCACAGGCUAUCUACUCAAUGGUCCAAUCAAAAGCUGAAACAAAUAUUACAAACAGUUCAACUUCUCUUGUAAAACUGGCAGCUCUGACCUGUGUGGCCAUCAUUGUGUUAAGUUUUAGUGCUGAUGUUUAAAUCAUGGGAAAAUCUCUGACAACAAACAGUGCGCAUGUUAGCGAUUGUGAUCAGAUCCAUGCAUGCUAAUUUAUCCUGUUAUAUGACAGGGACAAAUAAUGGAUGUAAAUCUUGUAUCAAUUUCAUAAAACGGGCGACAUCAUUCCUUAAACUACAGAUAAACCUUCCAAUUUGUUUGUGGAAUAUGGAGCCAGGGAGACAUGGUAAUAUGACACAAAACUUUUCUGCCUUUGGACAAUCCUACUAUAAACAAGUUCACAUUUACUUGCACUAGACAGUUUCCAUUUAAGGUCUGUAUGUACUUGCUACUCUUGUGCCUAGUGAUCAGCAAAACAGUUAUGUUUUGUUUGUUAAGUGACACAGCACUGUACCAAAUAUAAAAAAGCAAUCUACAUUUCAUUUUAAUGAUUAGCACUUUUGCUGCAAUACUUGGUGACAGUAUCCUCCAUUCUUAACCAUUUGGGGGCCAUUAGAGGCUGUAACAGACAUAUAUAAUUAGUGCAUUUUUAAGACAUAAAUUGCUGCCUUUGGGGCCACUAGAUAUAGCAGCUACAAUCUGUC